rfam:Erinaceus europaeus unplaced genomic scaffold scaffold00042, whole genome shotgun sequence
GUGCUCACUUCAGCAGUACCUAUAUAAACUUUGGAAUGAUACAGAGGAGACAGGCAUGGUCCCUGUGCAAGGAUAGCAUGCAAAUUUCUGAAGGAUAGCAUGCAAAU